rnacentral:rRNA from 1 species
UAGGGAAUCUUGCGCAAUGGGCGAAAGCCUGACGCAGCCAUGCCGCGUGAAUGAUGAAGGUCUUAGGAUUGUAAAAUUCUUUCACCGGGGAAGAUAAUGACGGUACCCGGAGAAGAAGCCCCGGCUAACUUCGUGCCAGCAGCCGCGGUAAUACGAAGGGGGCUAGCGUUGCUCGGAAUUACUGGGCGUAAAGGGCGCGUAGGCGGAUGUUUAAGUCGGGGGUGAAAGCCCGGGGCUCAACCUCGGAAUUGCCUUCGAUACUGGACAUCUUGAGUACGGGAGAGGUGAGUGGAACUCCGAGUGUAGAGGUGAAAUUCGUAGAUAUUCGGAAGAACACCAGUGGCGAAGGCGACUCACUGGCCCGUUACUGACGCUGAGGCGCGAAAGCGUGGGGAGCAAACAGGAUUAGAUACCCUGGUAGUCCACGCCGUAAACGAUGAGUGCUAGUUGUCGGCAUGCAUGCAUGUCGGUGACGCAGCUAACGCAUUAAGCACUCCGCCUGGGGAGUAC